rnacentral:lncRNA from 1 species
GAGCUAUCCGGCUAACUAGCUAUCCGUGGAGAAACGUUGGGAUAAAGAUUUGAAGAAUGGUUACUGAGGUGGACCUCAACAAGAAAACCCUGUGAGGAAAACCAUGUAACAGCGAUAAAACAACGUGUUUUCUCAAGCUGGAUGAAGAAACGAACCGUGCGAACUAAAGAAACGGCCGUACAAGCAGCGCGCUAUUGGAAGCUAACAUUAGCCGCGCUAGCUUAACAUUGGCUUCGCCAACCUAACGUUGGACGAGAGCAGCAGCUAAAGCUGAGCACGGAGCUGAUGAGUUUGAGGACGCACUUUGUCAAAAGCCACAUCAAGCCGACUGUCGGAGCAGGAGAAAAGGAGGCUGAGGGAAGAUGUCAGAUGAGGAAAGGUGUUAAAGCAUCCAGAGAUUAGUACAGACCCAGAUGGGGCUUCAUCUCCUGAUCCUUGUCCUCCACAGGAGUCUGCCAGACAAUGACAGGGAUUUGGGAAGUAGCUUUACCUGGUGUAGUGCAGAUAAUCAUCACUUCCUCCACUGACAGGAAGUCAAUCCCAACCUUUUUUUUCUUUUUAGCGUGACUGCUGAUUGUAGCAGGUGUGACAUCCUCAGGAAGUCUUGAGAAACACUCGGUCAUUGGCUUCCUGUCAGCGUGUCUAUAGAGUAGAGAAAGGAACAAUAAAUGUUAAAAAAG